GAUGAACGCUGGCGGCGUGCCUAAUACAUGCAAGUCGAGCGAACGGACGAGAAGCUUGCUUCUCUGAUGUUAGCGGCGGACGGGUGAGUAACACGUGGAUAACCUACCUAUAAGACUGGGAUCACUUCGGGAAACCGGAGCUAAUACCGGAUAAUCUUUUGAACCGCAUGGUUCAAAAGUGAAAGACGGUCUUGCUGUCACUUAUCGAUGGAUCCGCGCUGCAUUAGCUAGUUGGUACGGUAACGGCUUACCAAGGCUACGAUGCCUAGCCGACCUGAGAGGGGGAUAGGCCACACUAGAACUGAGACACGGUCCAGACUCCUACGGGAGGCAGCAGUAGGGAAUCGUCCGCAAUGGGCGAAAGCCUGACGGAGCAACGCCGCGUGAGUGAUGAAGGUCUUCGGAUCGUAAAACUCUGUUAUUAGGGAAGAACAGAUGUGUAAGUAACUGUGCACAUCUUGACGGUACCGAAUCAGAAAGCCACGGCUAACUACGUG
rnacentral:rRNA from 1 species